rnacentral:lncRNA from 1 species
AAAACUGUCGAACCUAAUCCCUGGCUUGGACUCCUAGAGCCCGUUUCAGUGCCUAUAUACCCUUUCUAAAUUGAUACUUAAUAUUCAAACCUCAUGACGGGACUUAAAAAGGAUUUCAAAGAAAAAAUUUUAUUAUUUAUAUAAUCAAGAGAAUUUUUCUUCUUUCAAACUUUCAUUUAUAAAUCGAGAGAAUUUAUUAUUUAUAAAUCGCUAAAAUUUUGAUCAAAUGACAAACCAUUUUAUUUUUUGUAUUUUUAUUUUUUAUAUCUAUUCUAUUCAUUAAAUAAGUGAUAAUCCAAUAAUUCUUACUCAAAAAUCUUUAGACUUAAUUUAAAGGUUUUAUAUGGACUUUAACCUAGCUGGCCCUUCUUAUGAAGUGGCUAUGGAGAUUUCCAAAAGAAAAGAAAAAGCCAUGGUGCUCAUAUUUCGCUGCGUUGUACCUCUCCAAUGGAUAAAAUGGAUUGACCAACCCACCUAAAAAAUAUCCUGCAUCUAGAAAGGUAUUAUUUGGUACAAAGAAACUUUUAGGCAGAACUUGGGCUAGACUUUGAUUGAGCAAUGGUAAGCCAAUUAGCUUUAGGGAUGAUGCUUAGCCGUGCCACUGUUCCCAUUUUCUCUAUCUUAAAUUUAUCAUUUCAACAUUUUUUAAUGUUAUGAGGUGUUAUUCUGAAUUUCCAAAUAGUAUUUUAGGGUUUGUC